UACGUAGGGUGCAAGCGUUGUCCGGAAUUAUUGGGCGUAAAGAGCUCGUAGGCGGUCUGUCGCGUCGAAUGUGAAAACCCGGGGCUCAACCCCGGGCCUGCAUUCGAUACGGGCAGACUAGAGUUCGGUAGGGGAGUCUGGAAUUCCUGGUGUAGCGGUGAAAUGCGCAGAUAUCAGGAGGAACACCGGUGGCGAAGGCGGUUCUCUGGGCAUGUCCUGACGCUGAGGAGCGAAAGUGUGGGGAGCGAACAGG
rnacentral:rRNA from 1 species